GGGAUAACGUUCCGAAAGGAACGCUAAUACCGCAUACGUCCUACGGGAGAAAGUGGGGGAUCUUCGGACCUCACGCUAUCAGAUGAGCCUAGGUCGGAUUAGCUAGUUGGUGAGGUAAAGGCUCACCAAGGCGACGAUCCUUAGCUGGUCUGAGAGGAUGAUCAGCCACACUGGGACUGAGACACGGCCCAGACUCCUACGGGAGGCAGCAGUGGGGAAUAUUGCACAAUGGGCGCAAGCCUGAUGCAGCGACGCCGCGUGGGGGAUGACGGCCUUCGGGUUGUAAACUCCUUUCGCUAGGGACGAAGCUUUUUGUGACGGUACCUAGAUAAGAAGCACCGGCUAACUACGUGCCAGCAGCCGCGGUAAUACGUAGGGUGCGAGCGUUGUCCGGAAUUACUGGGCGUAAAGAGCUCGUAGGUGGUUUGUCGCGUCGUUUGUGUAAGCCCGCAGCUUAACUGCGGGACUGCAGGCGAUACGGGCAUAACUUGAGUGCUGUAGGGGAGACUGGAAUUCCUGGUGUAGCGGUGGAAUGCGCAGAUAUCAGGAGGAACACCGAUGGCGAAGGCAGGUCUCUGGGCAGUAACUGACGCUGAGGAGCGAAAGCAUGGGGAGCGAACAGGAUUAGAUACCCUGGUAGUCCACGCCGUAAACGAUGUCGACUAGCCGUUGGGAUCCUUGAGAUCUUAGUGGCGCAGCUAACGCAUUAAGUCGACCGCCUGGGGAGUACGGCCGCAAGGUUAAAACUCAAAUGAAUUGACGGGGGCCCGCACAAGCGGUGGAGCAUGUG
rnacentral:rRNA from 1 species